GGGGGGGCAUAUGGCAUGCUCUCACCGUACUGGCACACAUGAUUGCUAAGAUGUAAACAUGUUGCCACGAAUGUAAUUGGGUUGCAGUAAGAGGUCGGAGAAAAUUCCAAAGAAGUCAAGGAGUCAUAUGUUACUAUAAUGUUAAGCUAGUGUAAAAGACACUUGUGUUUGUAGGCUGGGGGAACGGAAAUAUGAAGGCAUUUCCUAUUAACCAUUGUAUUUUUUUAUUGAAUUUGGUGCUACUAGUUUUACUGUGAGACUUAUAAAUCGAUCUGACACACUCUGACAAUGCAGAAAUUUAAGUUGCAGAAAGUAGGAGACCGUUUUAUUUAUGAUGGUACAGUUGCCAGACUACUGAUUUCCAAGAUUGACUAACUCCAUAGAGAUGCUGUUGAAGAAGACUGCAUGGACUUCCAAGGCAAUAUAGUGAACCAUGGCCUCCUCUACGUCCCAGGUCCCAGCGUUUGUUCAUUGUGUGUGUGUUACCAUAGUGAGCCAAUGUGGUGCAAGGCCAUCUACUGUGAUCCA